GCUGCAGCGCAAUUCCUUCAUUUCCUCUUUGAAGGCAUGUCAAGCAAUUCUCGGUUCUCAUCCAGCCAGACGAGGCAUUGUCGAAGUCUGAAAGCUUACUCAAUGGGUAUUGAAUCUGUGGAUGAAAGAUUUAAUUAGUUUCGAGAAAGCAAAAGGAAGUUUAAGCAAUGCGGGAUGGAACAAAUGCGAAGUCCGUCUUCCCAAAACAAUCAAUCGUAUUUUGUAUUUGGGAUUUUGUUGCUUGAAUACGUCUUUCGCUUACCGUUGAAAUUUGGAAUGGGGUUGAACUUGCUUGGGUUUGAAGUGGGGAGAAUCAAGGGUGUUCCAUUGAAGCAACGCAAGCACAGAGUGUGGAUUGGAUCAAUCCCAUUAAUGCGAUGAAGUUACACCAGCGGAUUAGGAAAGUAAUUUUCACGAAGCAAUAUAAUUUAUACUCUCAAAUAGGCCCUCAAGUUCUUGGGAUGUAAUUUAUUUGCCUACAUUUGUUGGUUUCCUCUCAUGGCAUCAGUUUUAUCUAGUGUACGUCUCUCCAAAAAAAUUAGGAAGAACUGCUUCCUUCUUGGCCAUUUUUUGUACAAGAUAUCAAAAUGAAUGCAAAAUUUCUAUGCUGAAAAUUGCUUGGUAGAAAGCUGUUACUCCAGCCCACCUUGAAGGAACAUUUACAAAAUUAAGGGCAGAAAGUGAUCACGUAACGUGAAACCUUACAUUUACGAAGGCUGGAAGGGUCGUCAAAAGCAUAGGUGUAAGCCUUGGGGCACAUAGCUUUGAAUAAAUGAGCAAAUAGCGUCGGCCUGCAGGUUUUGGGG